CUCUCUCCCCGCCCCUUCCCCUUCAUUGAUCGCCCCUUGCCUCCACCGAAAUAAAAAUAAAUAAUUAAACUAUCCACGAGUAAGAGUCGCCUCCAAAGCAGAGGCUCUUACAUCUCUCACACCGCCACUUGGAGUUUUUCGAGGACUUCGGACUUAGGCCUUUUGGGAUUUGGAGUUCCGCAGGGUGGAAGCUAAAGGAGGUGCAUCUUAACUACACGGCCCCGGUUUCCUUCACACACAACCCAUUUGGAGCUGGGUCUGGAGAAACCUGUAACAGUCUAUGGCCCUACCACUUGGACGCAUCAUAUCUCAGAAGCUAAACAGAGUCCGGCCUGGCUAGCAUUUGGUUGGAUUAGAGAUUAGUCACCGUGAGGAAGCCAAAUCGGAUCCGGGAGUCUUUUUCUAAAGGCCAGUACUGGCCACAUUUUCUCCUGCCGCCUUCCUCAAAGCUGAAGACAUACAGAGCAAGUUAAGCCUUCUCUCUUCAACUAGCUGUAAGCCGCUUCCCACCACAACUGCUGAGCUCCUAGGCAGCAAUGUGAUCUGCACUGCUUCUGAAGUCUGCACUGAUUCUUGGCAGAAAAAUGACAUCUCUUCCUUCUAAACAAGUGUUAAAACAGCUAACAUUCUUACAUGUAUACAUUUAGCAGACAUGCAUUGUACAUUCACUGUAUCAUCUGUCUCCUUCCUGAUACUUGGUUGUAUUUCCUACAUAUAGUAGCAAAUCCACACUGAGGCCUAGACCUUGGCCACUGCUCAGUUUCUUUCGACGAAGGGCCCUUGGCUGACACAGGAGUGGGGAAGACAAUUCUCCCAACUACAGGUGGCUGUUGACAAUGCUCUGAGGACGGGAACUGAGGGAGCAUCGCUUUUCUUCCCUAUCUGAAAAAGGUAGAGAUAUUAAUGAACAGAAGAGCCAUCAAAAGAAGGAGGAAAUGGAGAGCAAAGGGAACUGGUAAUGCAGUGGCCAGGAAGGCACCUUUCCUCUGUAGACAAGAGGCAGCUUCAAGGUGUGCUGCUGGCAUUUCCCAGCACGUCCUUUUGUGAAUAAGGCCAGAACCCCAGGAUAGGCUUUAGCGCACUAGCCCUGGGUCCCUACAGUUACGGAUUAAAUAUUUCUGCAAGGCUAACAC